rnacentral:rRNA from 1 species
AACGAACGCUGGCGGCAUGCCUAACACAUGCAAGUCGAACGAACCUUUCGGGGUUAGUGGCGGACGGGUGAGUAACACGUGGGAACGUGCCUUUAGGUUCGGAAUAACUCACGGAAAGAUGUGCUAAUACCGGAUGUUCCCUUCGGGGGAAAGAUUCAUCGCCUUUAGAUCGGCCCGCGUUUGAUUAGCUAGUUGGUUGGGGUAAUGGCUUACCAAGGCGACGAUCAGUAGCUGGUCUGAGAGGAUGAUCAGCCACACUGGGACUGAGACACGGCCCAGACUCCUACGGGAGGCAGCAGUGGGGAAUCUUGGGCAAUGGGCGAAAGCCUGACGCAGCAAUGCCGCGUGAGUGAUGAAGGUCUUAGGGUUGUAAAGUUCUUUCACCGGGGACGAUAAUGACGGUACCCGGAGAAGAAGCCCCGGCUAACUUCGUG